UUCUUCAGUAAAAAUUAUUCAAACAAACUAAUUAAUUAAAAGGAACUCGGCAAAAUUAGUUGCUUCGCCUGUUUAUCAAAAACAUGGCUCUCUGCUUAUGUAAAUAUAGAGAGUCGAGCCUGCCCAGUGAAUUUUCAACGGCCGCGGUACUCUGACCGUGCAAAGGUAGCAUAAUCAUUUGCCUUAUAAUUGAAGGCUAGUAUGAAUGGUUUGACGAGAGCAACGCUGUCUCUUUUUUAUUUUCAAGAACUUAACUUUUAGGUGAAGAGGCCUAAAUUUUAUUGAAGGACAAGAAGACCCUGUCGAGCUUAAAAGAUAUUAUAGAAGUGCAUAUAUUUUUAAAUAAAUUUUCUAUUCAGCUUUUUAGUUGGGGCGACUAAGGAACAAAAAAAGCUUCUUAUUAAUAAUAAACACUCAUGUUUAGAUCCGGCAAUAACCGAUCAAAGGAAUUAGUUACCGCAGGGAUAACAGCAUAAUCUCUCUUGAGAGACCUAAUCGAAAGAGGGGGUUGUGACCUCGAUGUUGGACUAGAAUAUCCUAAAGAUGCAGA
rnacentral:rRNA from 1 species